rnacentral:rRNA from 1 species
UACGUAGGUGGCGAGCGUUAUCCGGAAUCAUUGGGCGUAAAGAGGGAGCAGGCGGCCGCAAAGGUCUGUGGUGAAAGACCGAAGCUAAACUUCGGUAAGCCAUGGAAACCGGGCGGCUAGAGUGCGGAAGAGGAUCGUGGAAUUCCAUGUGUAGCGGUGAAAUGCGUAGAUAUAUGGAGGAACACCAGUGGCGAAGGCGACGGUCUGGGCCGCAACUGACGCUCAUUCCCGAAAGCGUGGGGAGCAAAUA